AGAGUUUGAUCAUGGCUCAGAUUGAACGCUGGCGGCAGGCCUAACACAUGCAAGUCGAGCGGAUGACAGGAGCUUGCUCCUGAAUUCAGCGGCGGACGGGUGAGUAAUGCCUAGGAAUCUGCCUGGUAGUGGGGACAACGUUUCGAAAGGAACGCUAAUACCGCAUACGUCCUACGGGAGAAAGCAGGGGACCUUCGGGCCUUGCGCUAUCAGAUGAGCCUAGGUCGGAUUAGCUAGUUGGUGAGGUAAUGGCUCACCAAGGCGACGAUCCGUAACUGGGUCUGAGAGGAUGAUCAGCCACACUGGAACUGAGACACGGUCCAGACUCCUACGGGAGGCAGCAGUAGGGAAUAUUGGACAAUGGGCGCAAGCCUGAUCCAGCCAUGCCGCGUGAGUGAAGAAGGCCCUCGGGUUGUAAAGCUCUUUUGUCCGGAAAGAAAAGCGCCGGGUUAAUACCCUGGUGUCCUGACGGUACCGGAAGAAUAAGCACCGGCUAACUUCGUG
rnacentral:rRNA from 1 species